rnacentral:tRNA from 1 species
CCGACUUUAGCUCAGUUGGUAGAGCGGAGGACUGUAGUGGGAAAAAAAAUCCUAGUUUGUAAUCCUUAGGUCGCUGGUUCGAAUCCGGCAAGUCGGA